ACACCCUCAAGCUCUGCUUGGUGUUGGGCGUCUGUCCCGCUCCCGUAGCGCGGACUCGCCUCAAAGUCAUUGGCGGCGGUCGUGCCGGCUCCUCGCGCAGCACAUUUGCGCUUCUCGGAGGCCCGGCGGAUCAGCGUCCAGCAAGACACCUUCAUG
rnacentral:misc_RNA from 1 species